rnacentral:rRNA from 1 species
AGCUUGCUCUCGGGUGACGAGCGGCGGACGGGUGAGUAAUGUCUGGGAAACUGCCUGAUGGAGGGGGAUAACUACUGGAAACGGUAGCUAAUACCGCAUAAUGUCGCAAGACCAAAGUGGGGGACCUUCGGGCCUCAUGCCAUCAGAUGUGCCCAGAUGGGAUUAGCUAGUAGGUGGGGUAACGGCUCACCUAGGCGACGAUCCCUAGCUGGUCUGAGAGGAUGACCAGCCACACUGGAACUGAGACACGGUCCAGACUCCUACGGGAGGCAGCAGUGGGGAAUAUUGCACAAUGGGCGCAAGCCUGAUGCAGCCAUGCCGCGUGUGUGAAGAAGGCCUUCGGGUUGUAAAGCACUUUCAGCGGGGAGGAAGGCGAUAAGGUUAAUAACCUUGUCGAUUGACGUUACCCGCAGAAGAAGCACCGGCUAACUCCGUGCCAGCAGCCGCGGUAAUACGGAGGGUGCAAGCGUUAAUCGGAAUUACUGGGCGUAAAGCGCACGCAGGCGGUCUGUCAAGUCGGAUGUGAAAUCCCCGGGCUCAACCUGGGAACUGCAUUCGAAACUGGCAGGCUAGAGUCUUGUAGAGGGGGGUAGAAUUCCAGGUGUAGCGGUGAAAUGCGUAGAGAUCUGGAGGAAUACCGGUGGCGAAGGCGGCCCCCUGGACAAAGACUGACGCUCAGGUGCGAAAGCGUGGGGAGCAAACAGGAUUAGAUACCCU